rnacentral:rRNA from 1 species
GGUGGCGAUUAUACCAGAGUUGUCCCACCUGUUCCCAUUUCGAACACAGAAGUGAAAUACUCUAAGGCCGAUGAUAGUGCGAUGAGCGCGAAAGUAGGUAGUCGCCACCA